UGCUUCAGUUUGAAAUGGUCUGGUU
rnacentral:piRNA from 1 species